UACAUAGGUGUCAAGCGUUAUCCGGAUUUAUUGGGCGUAAAGAGUGCGCAGACGGUUUAAUAAGUUUAAGGUUAAAUAUCAAAGCUUAACUUUGGUUCGCCUUAAAAACUAUUUUUCUAGAGUGUAGUAGAAGUUGAUGGAAUUUCAUGUGUAGCGGUGAAAUGCGUAGAUAUAUGAAGGAACACCAGUGGCGAAAGCGAUCAACUAUGCUAUUACUGACGUUCAUGCACGAAAGCGUGGGGAGCAAAUAGG
rnacentral:rRNA from 1 species